GUGAACGCUGGCGGUAGGCCUAACGCAUGCAAGUCGCACGGCAGCACAGUAAGAGCUUGCUCUUACGGGUGGCGAGUGGCGGACGGGUGCGGAAUACAUCGGAAUCUACUUUUUCGUGGGGGAUAACGUAGGGAAACUUACGCUAAUACCGCAUACGACCUCCGGGUGAAAGCAGGGGAUCUUCGGACCUUGCGCGAUUGAAUGAGCCGAUGUCGGAUUAGAUAGUUGGCGGGGUAAAGGCCCACCAAGGCGACGAUCCGUAGCUGGUCUGAGAGGAUGAUCAGCCACACUGGAACUGAGACACGGUCCAGACUCCUACGGGAGGCAGCAGUGGGGAAUAUUGGACAAUGGGCGCAAGCCUGAUCCAGCCAUACCGCGUGGGUGAAGAAGGCCUUCGGGUUGUAAAGCCCUUUUGUUGGGAAAGAAAAGCAGCAGGUUAAUACCCCGCUGUUCUGACGGUACCCAAAGAAUAAGCACCGGCUAACUUCGUG
rnacentral:rRNA from 1 species